rnacentral:lncRNA from 1 species
GUUGUGAUGUUGUCGUUCAUUGUUGUUGUAUCUUGUCUCAGCUCUUGCACUGCAGCGGCAUGGUCCUGGUUCCAUUUUUGUUGUUCUUCCAGGAGUCUUCCAUGUUCUGCUUGCGUGUUCUGGAUGUCUAGGAGGGUGUUGUCGGUACGAGUGAAGAAAGCACCGGCCUCUUGAUAGUAGUCAUUCGUGAAAGCGUAGGAGGCGUCGGAGUAUCGUCCUGCAUCAAAUUGGGGCGGAGGUCU